UAGGGAAAUCUUCACAAACUCAUACAUUGAAGUGAAUGCUGCUGUGCAGGCUGUGAAUUUUUUCAAGAGGGUGAACAAUUCAUUGAUGAAUUGUAAUUAAAUGCUUGGCAAAGACGAUCUCGCGAGAGACAUUUCAAUCAUUGAUGUUCAAAAGCAAGCCAUCAUUAUUUAGAGUUCUCUCAGCAGAAAUUUGCAUCCAAAAUCGACGGUGAUUCAGGAGAUCUUAUUUAUUUCAAAGAUAGAAAGAAUAGUUGGCAACCAUUUGCGUAUGGUGUGUGCGAAAUGGGUGAAGAAUAUGACAUUUCUUUUGGUCCAGAGAAAAUUUAUAAAUACUUAAAACUGGAUAAAGUUUUAAAGGUGCUCGAUUUGAAAGAUUGUGAAUUCUUCUAAGAAACAGAUACUAAUAAUCACGAAAAUUCAUCUGAUGAAGAUGUCGACUAUUGAGCUCAUAAAGGAUGCUUUUUCAUUUCUCGAAAAUAUCCACACAACCUUUCAAACCUUUCAAAAAGGGCUGUAAAUAAUUUUUAGAUGUUUAGUAAUUUUAAGGAUUUGCAGAGCAAAAUUUUUUAUGCCAUUGUCUGUUUAAUGCGAAAACAUGUGAAAGAGGUAAUUUAUUCGAGAAAUAAAAAAUUUUAAUGCCUGCUA